rnacentral:tRNA from 1 species
GCAGGCGUAGUUUAAUGGCAGAACUCAACCUUCCCAAGGUUGCCGCGGGGGUUCGAUUCCCCUCGCCUGCU